AAAGACGUGCGCAGGCGGUUAUGUAAGACAGAUGUGAAAUCCCCGGCUCAACCUGGGAACUGCAUUUGUGACUGCAUGGCUAGAGUACGGUAGAGGGGGAUGGAAUUCCGCGUGUAGCAGUGAAAUGCGUAGAUAUGCGGAGGAACACCGAUGGCGAAGGCAAUCCCCUGGACCUGUACUGACGCUCAUGCACGAAAGCGUGGGGAGCAAACAGGAUUAGAUACCCUGGU
rnacentral:rRNA from 1 species